rnacentral:rRNA from 1 species
UACGAAGGGGGCGAGCGUUGUUCGGAUUUACUGGGCGUAAAGGGCGCGCAGGCGGUCUUGAAAGUCAGGCGUGAAAGCCCCGGGCUUAACCUGGGAAUUGCGCUUGAUACUCUGAGACUGGAGUACGGGAGAGGAGAGUGGAAUUCCCAGUGUAGAGGUGAAAUUCGUAGAUAUUGGGAAGAACACCAGUGGCGAAGGCGGCUCUCUGGACCGUAACUGACGCUGAGGCGCGAAAGCGUGGGGAGCAAGCAGG